rnacentral:rRNA from 1 species
GAUGAACGCUGGCGGCGUGCCUAAUACAUGCAAGUCGAGCGAACAGACGAGGAGCUUGCUCCUCUGACGUUAGCGGCGGACGGGUGAGUAACACGUGGAUAACCUACCUAUAAGACUGGGAUAACUUCGGGAAACCGGAGCUAAUACCGGAUAAUAUAUUGAACCGCAUGGUUCAAUAGUGAAAGACGGUUUUGCUUUCACUUAUAGAUGGAUCCGCGCCGCAUUAGCUAGUUGGUAAGGUAACGGCUUACCAAGGCAACGAUGCGUAACCGACCUGAGAGGGUGAUCGGCCACACUGGAACUGAGACACGGUCCAGACUCCUACGGGAGGCAGCAGUAGGGAAUCUUCCGCAAUGGGCGAAAGCCUGACGGAGCAACGCCGCGUGAGUGAUGAAGGUCUUCGGAUCGUAAAACUCUGUUAUUAGGGAAGAACAAAUGUGUAAGUAACUAUGCACGUCUUGACGGUACCUAAUCAGAAAGCCACGGCUAACUACGUG